GACGAACGCUGGCGGCGUGCUUAACACAUGCAAGUCGAACGGAAAGGCCCUGCUUUUGUGGGGUGCUCGAGUGGCGAACGGGUGAGUAACACGUGAGUAACCUGCCCUUGACUUUGGGAUAACUUCAGGAAACUGGGGCUAAUACCGGAUAGGAGCUCCUGCUGCAUGGUGGGGGUUGGAAAGUUUCGGCGGUUGGGGAUGGACUCGCGGCUUAUCAGCUUGUUGGUGGGGUAGUGGCUUACCAAGACUUUGACGGGUAGCCGGCCUGAGAGGGUGACCGGCCACAUUGGGACUGAGAUACGGCCCAGACUCCUACGGGAGGCAGCAGUGGGGAAUAUUGCACAAUGGGCGGAAGCCUGAUGCAGCAACGCCGCGUGCGGGAUGACGGCCUUCGGGCUGUAAACCGCUUUCGCCUGUGACGAAGCGUGAGUGACGGUAAUGGGUAAAGAAGCACCGGCUAACUACGUG
rnacentral:rRNA from 1 species